rnacentral:pre_miRNA from 1 species
UAAAUACUCCCUCCGUCCGAAAAUACUUGUCAUCAAAAUGGAUAAAAAGAGAUGUAUCUAAAACUAAAAUAUGUCUAGAUAUAUUUCCUUUUAUCCAUUUUGAUGACAAGUAUUUCCAGACGGAGGGAGUAUUUG